rnacentral:lncRNA from 1 species
CUUUGUACAAAUUCUGAAUAAUCCCAGGAUAUUUCUUCAGCAGCAAUGUAAUAAUUUCUUCUGUUUCCAUUGUUGCUGCGGAGGUACCAUGCUGCAAUGUUGUCAGGAUCUCUGGAGGAGUUGAUGUUUGUCCUAACAUCAGUUUUGUAGGGGUCAUCAUAGGGCACAUAAUCAAUUUCAGCAUAGUCAUCUUCACUGCUCUGGACCUCUUCCUUUGGAAUAAUCUCAAUGUAAUCUGUACCAUCUUUACUGAGGCCCACUAUAACCAGUGGAUUAAAUUCCUUUGAUAGAAAAGUAUCAUUGAGAGUAGGAGAUGAAGGAGAUGGCAUCUGACCAAGGUCUGGAUAAGGAAAAGACUCAUUAAAUUCUUGAAGAAGCAAUGACUGACUAGAUUCAGAAGGGUAGAAUAUCUGAUCAAGGUCUGGAGGAGGUGAUAUCUGGCUGAGAUCAGGGAGAAGGGUGGUGUCACUGAUGUCUGGAGAGAGAGUCACCUGGCUGAGGUCUGGGGAAAGGGACAUCCGACCAAAGUUUGGGGAAAGAUCUGUCUCACCAAGGUCUGGAGAAAGUGUCAUCUGGUCGAGGUCUGGGGUAAGGGGAAUUUGACUGAGAUCUGCAAACAGGGGCAUCUCACUGAGGUCUGGGGAAAGGUUUGUCUGACUGAGUUCUGGAGAGAGAGUCGUGUGGCUGAGGUCUGGAGAGGGGUUUGUCUGGCUGAGAUCUGGAGAUAGGGUCACCUGGCUGAGGUCUGGAGAGGUGACUGUCUGCCAGACUUCAUGUUCUGAGGAAGGGGACAUUUGACUUAUAUCAGUGGGGAAGGACUUGUGACUUCGGUCAUACUCAAGCAUCUCACUGAGCUCUGGAGAAGAGGAUAUGUGACUGGGGUCUGAAGUAGAGUGCAUUUGAUCAGGGUCUUGAAUGGGGAAUGUUUGAUAGUGUUCCUCUGGGGGCACUGUCUGAUAAAGACCUGGAGGACAGCUUGUCUGACCAGUGUCAUUUGAGGAAUUCUGAUUAUGGUCAGGAAGUGAGGCUAUCCAGCCAAAAUCCAUAGAGGGCAAUGUCUGAUUGAGGUCUGUGGGAAGAGAUGUUUCAUUGGAUUUAUGAAGCAUCAACGAAUGCUUAAGUCUUCUUUCUGAAAAUGUGUUGUAGGCUUCACUUCUUAGAGGGUGAAAGGUCCUCGGAGAUAAAGGAGCAUGGUGUGUGUGCUUCUCUUUUUUCUUUUUUCGUGUCUUAAUGAGAAACUGGCUUUUCUUCAGUCUACUCUUUCCUCCAUCCUGUCUUACUUGUAGAGAUUUAUGUCUAACUCUAGGAAACUUGGGGUGGCCACUCUGCUUUCCAGGCUUGUUGGCAAGAGGGGUGCUUUCUCCCCAAGCACGUGAGGCAUUCUGGGGGCUGAUCAGCCAAUUGUUAACAGCUGUGUCUUCAUCAGUAUCUUGGAUUAUUUCAUAGCUACCUUUCUCAGAAGCCAAAUGCCAUCUCCCAACCAAAAUCUUAGAUGGGUUAUUUUGUUUUAAGAGUAACAGAUCACUAGGAGGGUCCUCCCAGGGCCUCAUUCUGGAAGGAGAACCAGUGUCUUGGCUAGGAAGGUCCUCCCAGGGCUUCAUUCCGGAAGGAGAACCAGUGUCUUGGCUUAGGUGUCUCCCAACUUUAUGUGCUAGUAAUUUCAUCCAGGAGAACCUGUGCUUUGCUGCUUGAUCUCUUUCUACCUUGGGUCCCUUAUGCUUAGCAUGUUCUUGACUUUUGAAUUCUCCAGCAUCAAGUGAAAGUAGACGUAUCCCUGUGACAUCUGGCUGUAGAGGAUCCUCUAUAGGGUCUUCAGAAUAUGGGCUGGAAUGCUCUGCUGUGGAAGAAUUGAGAACUGAGUUCUUGCCAAUGAGGUGUCUCAGUGGGGAACCAGCUGUGGUGGCUUGUUGGUGAGAAGGGGCUUUCUGAGGUUCUGCAAGGUUAUUGACAGUGAACUUACUAAUAUUACUUGGGGAAGAAUAAUUUGAACCAACAAUUAUAUCUGUGUUCGAAGAAACGAAUUCAGUGCCAUUCUCCAGAGCUAGGGCAGUAAGAUUGAACUCUUCUUCUUCCUGAUUCAAUGAUGAGUUUCGGAAUGACCUAAUUCCUAAUGCUGCAGCCAGUCUGUUCUGGUAAUCAUAGUCAGCAUCACUCUCUUCAACUUCAGGUUCUAAACGAUCAUGCAUUUUCCGUGUAGCCAUGACUGUAGAUUCUGGAGGUUCAAAAAUCUCAUAUGAGUCUUCAUCAUCAUCUGGGAUACAUUUAACAUCCCUGAAUUUCAGCCUCAGCUUUUUGCUUCUUGGACUAGAAUUCAUGGAAGUUAACAUCCAAGUUC